ACGCGAGCUGGGUUCAGAACGUCGUGAGACAGUUCGGUCCAUAUCCGGUGUAGGCGUUAGAGCAUUGAGAGAAGCUUUCCUUAGUACGAGAGGACCGGGAAAGAUACACCUCUGGUGUACCAGUUAUUGUGCCAACAGUAAACGCUGGGUAGCUACGUGUAGUUGGAUAACCGCUGAAAGCAUCUAAGCGGGAAGCCUGUUCCGAGAUGAGGUUUCUUUUGAGGUGUCCUAGAGAUGAUGGGGUUGAUAGGCCGGGGCUGGAAGCUCUGUGAAGGGGUGUUGAGGUGACCGGUACUAAUUCACCGA
rnacentral:rRNA from 1 species